UCGUAUAACCGAGGUACUAGGGCUGUCGCUGACCCUUCGAAGGGUCGUGCACGCCCAAGUGCUCUCUCGCAUCCAUCCCACCCCUUUGUGCAUCACCGCGUGGGCCACCUCUUUCUUAAGAGGUUGGUUCGCGUUUUUACACACACACCUUUAUGUAUAGAAUGUCUUACUUUUUACGGUGAUACGCAAUAAAUUAAUA
rnacentral:misc_RNA from 1 species